UUUUAUGAGAGUUUGAUCCUGGCUCAGGACGAACGCUGGCGGCGUGCCUAAUACAUGCAAGUCGUACGCUUCUUUUUCCACCGGAGCUUGCUCCACCGGAAAAAGAGGAGUGGCGAACGGGUGAGUAACACGUGGGUAACCUGCCCAUCAGAAGGGGAUAACACUUGGAAACAG
rnacentral:rRNA from 1 species